AGAACGAACGCUGGCGGCAUGCCUAACACAUGCAAGUCGAACGAGACCUUCGGGUCUAGUGGCGCACGGGUGCGUAACGCGUGGGAACCUGCCUUUAGGUUCGGAAUAACUCCUCGAAAGGGGUGCUAAUACCGAAUAAUGUCUUCGGACCAAAGAUUUAUCGCCUUUAGAUGGGCCCGCGUUGGAUUAGCUUGUUGGUGGGGUAAAGGCCUACCAAGGCGACGAUCCAUAGCUGGUCUUAGAGGAUGAUCAGCCACACUGGGACUGAGACACGGCCCAGACUCCGUACGGGAGGCAGCAGGUGGGGGAAUAUUGGACAAUGGGACGAAAGCCUGAUCCAGCAAUCG
rnacentral:rRNA from 1 species